rnacentral:rRNA from 1 species
AUUGAACGCUGGCGGCAGGCUUAACACAUGCAAGUCGAGCGAGCGGCGGACGGGUGAGUAAUGUCUGGGAAACUGCCUGAGGGAGGGGGAUAACUACUGGAAAAGGUAGCUAAUACCGCAUACCAUCAGUUGUGCCCAGAUGGGAUUAGCUAGUAGGUGGGGUAAUGGCUCACGUAGGCGACGAUCCCUAGCUGGUCUGAGAGGAUGACCAUCCACACUGGAAUAGAGACACGGUCCAGACUCCUCCGGGCGCCAGCAGUGGGGCACAUUGCACAUUGGGCGCAAGCCUGAUGCAGCCAUGCCGCGUGUGUGAAGAAGGCCUGCGGGGGGUAAAGCGCUUGCAGCGAGGAGGCGGUACUCGCAGAAGAAGCACCGGCUAACUCCGUGCCAGCAGCCGCGGUAAUAC